rnacentral:rRNA from 1 species
UACGUAGGUCCCGAGCGUUGUCCGGAUUUAUUGGGCGUAAAGCGAGCGCAGGUGGUUUAUUAAGUCUGGUGUAAAAGGCAGUGGCUCAACCAUUGUAUGCAUUGGAAACUGGUAGACUUGAGUGCAGGAGAGGAGAGUGGAAUUCCAUGUGUAGCGGUGAAAUGCGUAGAUAUAUGGAGGAACACCGGUGGCGAAAGCGGCUCUCUGGGCUUUAACUGACGCUGAGGCUCGAAAGCGUGGGUAGCAAACAGG